UGUCGUAUUCACUUCAAUGUA
rnacentral:piRNA from 1 species